UACGGCCACAUCACGUUGAAGCACUGGUUCUCAUACGAUCACUGAAGUUAAGCAACGUUGAGCCCGGUUAGUACCUAGAUGGGUGACUGCUUGGGAAUAUCAAGUGCUGUAGG